rnacentral:lncRNA from 1 species
GGCUCCUCGCGCCGCCGCCUAAUGGAUUCCCCAACUCCGAUGCUUCUAGAACCUUCCGAGCCUCGCGCGCGCCGCCGCCGCCGCGGCCAUGGUGCUGGCCUCCGACGAGUUCGGCUGGUCGAUCUCGUUCACCAUCCUCGAGGAGGAGGAGGAAGAAGGAGUAGAAGACGCGUCACGCGACUGUGGGGGCUCGACUCGACGCGCAGAAGGCGGGCCAAUGUCGCCGCCGGCGAGGCCGUGGCGGCGCGCAUCCUCCGCGCCUACCUCGACACCAAGGGAGAUGUUCCAGUUCCCCUGACGGCGAAGCCACCAUUACCUCCUGAACUACCUUUGCAAGAUAGCAAUCCUCAUCAUGUUCGAACAAACGGCAUCAGAGAACAAAACAAGCAGCAGCAGAUCGUGCUGACAACUCAGGUGGUGAAAAUGAUUCUCAAGAUUGAUGACAUUAUCACGCCCGAGGAAGAAAGGGUUAUCAUAAUGAGGAAGGGUUCAGGCAUCAUCACCGACAAGCAGAACGAAGAUCAAUACACUAGUGGCAAGCAGUUCAGCUGGUUCAUGCAGUGCUGGUAUGUUGUGAAUGCUCCAUGCAGGCGCUUCUUCCCCAGCCUCAGAGCCACCGUGCCGCACUCCGGGAAGACGGCCACCGUCCUCAGCCGCAACCUUCCUUUGCUGGUGCUGCUGCUGAUCCCUCUGCUGACGUCUGCUCUCAGCUUCAGCACAGCUGCUCCUCUCAGACCUGGAAAAAGCAUACAAGAAGCUCAGCAUCAUAGCAUCACGGUGGCGGUGAGGGUGAGCAGCUCGGCGGGGGAGCGGCUGUCGAGGCCAGCCUUCACGGCGGAGGUGACCCGGGACCUGUUGGCACCGGCAGACUCCGCGGACUCGGCACAGACGGUGGCCACCAGCGCGGCAGCCGAGGCAAGCACCGUGCUCAGCUUCCUGUCAGCCCCAGCACCCCCAGAGCUGCUCCUCAGCUCGCAAGCCGACACGACGCCGGCGAUCGCAGCUGCGAGCUGGGCCACCGAGACGGCGGCGUGGGCCUGCGCCGUGUGCAGCCGGAGCUCGUCGCGCCUCUUCCUCCUCCGGCUCCCGGCGAUGGGGAUGCUGUCCAUCAAGUAUCCUCUCAGAAUUGCCCUCAUGUGUCCCAUGUUCAGCUGCUCAUUUUCAGUGGAAACCAAAAGCUUUCGUCAAUUCACUUCACUGUGCCAGAUCCGACAAAGCAUGAUGGCCUUGUCUUGAAAUGAAAAAU